rnacentral:lncRNA from 1 species
AACUUACGAUGUUGAUGGGCAAAGAAGCCUUCAAAGAUCACAAAGUUGUUCACCUGGAAGAUGAAACAAACAGUACCUUGGCAGAAGCCUUGCCCAGUUCAUCUAUAAUGGUCAUAAUUUGCUGCUGUAGAUCAACACUAGAGAAAGACUAGUCAGUGAGAAGGGGGCGUGGUGCCUGGACCAGGUUUGGAGAGGAACCGGGAGAAAAGGGCCAGAGGGUGGGUUUGAGCUGUCACCGGGCCGGCGUUGUGGUUCCGGGUCGGCGGGCUGGGGGCCUCAGGUGCUGGUCCAGCACCGUGAUCCGCUCCGGGAACAGCGCGUCCACAUCGAACGGGAACUCCAUGGCCCAUUGUGCGCGGUCGGACCCGCCCCACACGACGUCACUUCCGAGGAGGCUUCCGCUGGUGUUCUAGGGGGCAUCUUGGGCAUUGACUCAGGUGGGGGGCCACUCUCUUCUUGGAGAUGACCCUGGUAAAGCCGGCGAAGGCGAGACAGUUCUCUCUCCGGUGGCUGUUUCCAGUUGUACCAUGGGUACCAGGGGUCACCUGAGACCAGGGUGGGGGCUGGCGGAGUAGCACUCACAGCCCCAUGAGAGGUACUGAAGUCAAGGUCCCGUGGUUCAACCUGGGGGAUGUGGUAAAUGAGGAGACCUAAGGGAUUAAAUCCCUGGCUUUCUGGAUGGCCUGGGUCAACCGCUUGUGCUGCUUCACACAGA